rnacentral:rRNA from 1 species
AUUGAACGCUGGCGGCAGGCCUAACACAUGCAAGUCGGGCGGAGCGGCGGACGGGUGAGUAAUGUAUGGGGAUCUGCCUGAUGGAGGGGGAUAACACUUGGAAACAGGUGCUAAUACCGCAUACUGAUGGAUGGACACGCGGUUCAUUAGCUAGUUGGUGAGGUAACGGCUCACCAAGGCCACGAUGCAUAGCCGACCUGCGAGGGUGAUCGGCCACACUGGGACUGAGACACGGCCCAGACUCCUACGGGAGGCAGCAGUGGGGAAUAUUGGACAAUGGGCGAAAGCCUGAUCCAGCCAUGCCGCGUGUGUGAAGAAGGUCUUCGGAUUGUAAAGCACUUUAAGUGGGGAGGCGUUACCAACAGAAUAAGCACCGGCUAACUUCGUGCCAGCAGCCGCGGUAAUUC